UAAAACACUUUCAGAAAGGGAGAUAACUACUCAAUCUCCAGAAAGAUCAGAAAAUGAACAAUGUUCUUUUGUUCCGCGAAGGUCUGCAAGGUCAAGGUUAAAACCACAAUGGAUGAGAAAUGACGAAUUUGUAUUUUCACAAAUCCAUCAACCAGAUUGGAAAAUGAAAGCAGAGUAUUUACAAUCUUUAGCAGAUACAAAACUUUUCCAAAAUGUUGAUGGUAAAGUCAUUUCUGAUGCUUUAAUAAAGGUCAUAACUGAGUCUGCGGAUAAGUAAUCUUUUAAAUAAGAUUUUAUAAUUAUGUUUUUAAUGUUUUAAUAUUAUUUUAUGACAAUCAAUUGAUAUAUACAUGUACUAUUAUAAUUGCUCUUGAAAAAUUAAUGAGCUAUAUGGUUCGAAUUACAGAAAUUCUGUGAUUAACUUAUUUAUUGUUGAAUGAGUACAUCUUAGUCUGUGAAUUAAGAUUGAUACAGAGCAUACUUCCUCUUAAUAAUUUUGUUAUAAAUGAUGGGCACAUCAUUUGACAUCAGAGGAGGAAUGUGAUAUUCUUAUUGCUAUCAACAUUAUGAUUGCACAUCGAUAUAUGAGCAAUAUGACAGUAUACCAUAAUGUUGCUGAAAAUAGCUUAUAGUGAUAAUUUUUUUACUUAAGAAUUUUUUUUUGCUGCAAGUCGUUGAGUAAGUAAAUCUUAUUCAACUCAUAGCUUUAAUAAUUUUUUUUAUACUAUUAAAUUAAACAUAUAUUCGUUAAUGAAUGACGAGGACGUAAAUUGCUAACGGGGGAAAAAAUGUAAUAGUGAUAGUUUUAUACUAUUUUAAAUUUUAUGAUAUUCAAAUGUAUAAUUUAAUAAUUAUACAUUUAUGAAUAAGUCACAACUGAUUUUAAACUCUAAAGUGAAUUAAAUCUGUGUGUCAAUCAACAUUGACCAAAACAAAUAAUUUAAACUCAAAUAUUGGAACCUUUCACUUAUAUAAUUAAUUAAAUAAAAUACUUUUAAAUUCCGAAAUAAAACAACCUAAAUGAAUUAAAAUAAACAAUUAGUAAAACUUUGGAUCCACCCAUGCUACUUCUAGUACACCCGUGUAAGAGUACAUGAUCAUGAGUAGUUUUCAUCUUACUACAAUUUCAGUGGUCUAAAAAUUACCUCCAAAUUCCUGACAUUCAGACAAAGACACUUUUCAGCUGACAAUGCAUGAGUCUACAUGCCAAUAUGAGUUAUUCAUAAUUUAAUGAAAUCUGACUGACUGUUUCAAAGAAACUAGUCCAGAUUUAUUUAUUCAUUCUUUAUACUCUGCUGCACAUUUAAGAAGAUAUAGGAGUCAAGCUUUGUUCCACAAAUAAGGCUAUAAUUUUAUAACAUGAUGACUCCCUGAAUAAACCAUGUUAACGAACCCGCAGGUGUUAUUGGCUAUCAACGACCCCU